rnacentral:rRNA from 1 species
UAAUGCGUGACCAACCUGCCCCAUGCUCCAGAAUAGCUCUUGGAAACGGGUGGUAAUGCUGGAUGCUCCAACUUGACGCAUGUNUUGUUGGGAAAGUGUCUAGUGGCAUGGGAUGGGGUCGCGUCCUAUCAGCUUGUAGGCGGGGUAAUGGCCCACCUAGGCUUCGACGGGUAGCCGGCCUGAGAGGGCGGACGGCCACAUUGGGACUGAGAUACGGCCCAGACUCCUACGGGAGGCAGCAGCA